rnacentral:rRNA from 1 species
AACGAGCGCUGGCGGCAUGCCUAACACAUGCAAGUCGAACGAGACCUUCGGGUCUAGUGGCGCACGGGUGCGUAACGCGUGGGAACCUGCCCUUAGGUUCGGAAUAACUCCCCGAAAGGGGUGCUAAUACCGGAUAAUGUCUUCGGACCAAAGAUUUAUCGCCUUUGGAUGGGCCCGCGUUGGAUUAGCGAGUUGGUAGGGUAAAAGCCUACCAAGGCGACGAUCCAUAGCUGGUCUGAGAGGAUGAUCAGCCACACUGGGACUGAGACACGGCCCAGACUCAUACGGGAGGCAGCAGUGGGGAAUAUUGGACAAUGGGCGAAAGCCUGAUCCAGCAAUGCCGCGUGAGUGAUGAAGGCCUUAGGGUUGUAAAGCUCUUUUACCCGGGAUGAUAAUGACAGUACCGGGAGAAUAAGCUCCGGCUAACUCCGUG